rnacentral:rRNA from 1 species
GGUAGUGGCGGGGGAGGAGGGGGGGUAAUAAGAAGGGGGGGAGGGUGGGAGGGAAGGAAGGGGCGGAAAGCGAAGGGAGGGGGAUUGGUAAGGGGGGGGUGAAAUCGGGGAGCGCAAAGCGAGAAAGGGAGUAGAUACUGGGGAGAGAGAGGUCGGGAGAGGGGAGGGGAACGGCGAGUGUAGAGGUGAAAUGCGUAGAUAUGGGCAAGAACACCAGUGGCGAAGGCGGCUCACUGGGCCGAUACUGACGCUGAGGUGCGAAAGCGUGGGGAGCAAACAGGAUUAGAUACCCCGGUAGUC